rnacentral:sRNA from 1 species
CCCAGGCAUGGUGGUGCAUACCUGUAAUCCCAAAAUCUAGGAGGCUGAGUCAGGAGGAUGGGAGUUCAAAGCUAGCCUCAGCAACUUAGCAAGGUCCUAAGCAACUCAGUGAGAUCCUGUCUCUA